CGUCCGCUCCAUUAUCCGCCUUUGUUACCGGAUCACUGGUUUGCUGGUCGGCAUUUUGUAGGUGCUCAUUUAUUUCGAUGAGGUCGCCAUCUACAGCACCAUCACCAAAGGUUCUGCUUAGGUCCAUAUAAUUAUGAUGUCUUGGAGGGUAUGACGUUCGACAAUAUUUCUGAAUCCUUCAAUGCUGACUUUGAGGAUGGUACAAUCGGGGAGGUAAUUAUUUUUCCUUUUGUCAUGUGAAACC